UUGGGUGCUAAGUAGUGUGAGUAAAGACAGCAAAGUUAGAUUAAUAAUAGCCUGUGAAGCGCUAUCUGAAUGCCGGAUGACAGUUUGAAUCUCAUUUCAUAGACAGUUGUUUGUUUUUGUUUGUUAUUCUUCAGAGGAUAGGAGCAAGAAUUUGGAAUAUUUUUUGGAGAUAAGAGCCAGAUUGUCAGAUGUAAAACAGGAUUUAGGUCAGAUGGUCGUGUCUCCAUGAUGCCUGAAAGGACAUGUUUUGCACAGCUAGACAUGCAUCUCAAUAACAUGUUCUCUUAGGUUCCACACGACAACUUUACAGACUCACGCUAUGCCUGCUUGUUUUUCCCAUAUUUUCUCUGUUUCUGGCCAACAUCUUGUUUAUUUAGCAUUACUGUCUCUUUUGCAAAAAGGUUUUGUACACACAGCCUCUCUUCUAACUCCAGUGUUGUACUAGGCUGGGAAACAACAGUUUCACGGAGCAGAGGUGACGAGGACUGGCAAGUUUUAGGUGAAAACUGAAGCAAUGCUCAGCAUCUUCUGAGUGCUGUGCUGGUCGAUCACUUCACAUCCAACAGCUGAUGGGAAGAGGUUGCUCCAUGCUGCUCCCAGCAUACACCAGCAGGCAGAGGAGAUUGUCUACAGAUGGCUACAACAUAGGAGAAAGAAAGAACCCCAGAACCUACCAGACCCCAACACUGAGACCACAUCAAGCGCACUCUGCCUCUCACAGUGUGUUAGCUGGAAUAGAA
rnacentral:lncRNA from 1 species